CGUAAACAACCUGCCUUAAGGAUGGGGAUAACAGACGGAAACGACUGCUAAUACCGAAUACGUUCUAAGCAUCGCAUAGUGCAUAGAAGAAAGGGUGGCCUCUACAAGAAAGCUAUCGCCUUAAGAGGGGUUUGCGACUGAUUAGGUAGUUGGUGAGGUAACGGCUCACCAAGCCGACGAUCAGUAGCCGGUCUGAGAGGAUGAACGGCCACACUGGAACUGAGACACGGUCCAG
rnacentral:rRNA from 1 species